UACGAAGGGCCCAAGCGUUGCGCGGAUUUACUGGGCUUAAAGGGUGCGCAGGCGGACCCGCAAGUGUUUUGUGAAAUCCCACGGCUCAACCGUGGAAUGGCUUGGCAAACUGCGGGUCUUGAGGUCGGCAGAGGUCGCCGGAACUGUAGGUGUAGCGGUGAAAUGCGUAGAUAUCUACAGGAACGCCAAUGGUGAAGACAGGCGGCUGGGCCGAUUCUGACGCUCAGGCACGAAAGCGUGGGUAGCGAACGGG
rnacentral:misc_RNA from 1 species